rnacentral:rRNA from 1 species
UACGUAGGCAGCGAGCGUUGUUCGGAGUUACUGGGCGUAAAGCGCGCGCAGGCGGCUAUCCAAGUCAGUGGUGAAAGCCCGGAGCUCAACUCCGGAACUGCCAUUGAAACUGUUUAGCUUGAGGAUGAGAGAGGUGAGUGGAAUUCCCAGUGUAGAGGUGAAAUUCGUAGAUAUUGGGAAGAACACCGGUGGCGAAGGCGGCUCACUGGCUCAUUACUGACGCUCAGGCGCGAUAGCGUGGGGAUCAAACAGG